GGUGAAAUGGCUGAGUUUAAGCAAUAAAUUGUAAAUUUAUUUACGAAAAAAAUUUCUUUUACCA
rnacentral:tRNA from 1 species